rnacentral:lncRNA from 1 species
CUGAAUUGCUCAGCUCACUAUAUUGUUCUUCCCUUGCUAAUGGUAAUCUGAUCUUAAGUGGGGUCAUCACUUCUGUUCCAUAUGCCAGGUUGAAUGGCGAUUCUCCCGUUGGUAUGCGAGGCAUUGUUCGAUAUGCCCAUAAAAUCGGAUAUAGUUCUUCCACCCAGAGGUCUUUAGCUUUAUUCAGUCUGAUUUUAAGUCCAUG